rnacentral:snRNA from 1 species
GUGCUCGCUUCGGCAGCACAUAUACUAAAAUU